rnacentral:rRNA from 1 species
UGCCAGCAGCCGCGGUAACACGGGGGGCGCAAGCGUUAUUCGGAAUUACUGGGCGUAAAGCGCACGUAGGCGGAUUAGUAAGUUGGGGGUGAAAUCCCGGGGCUCAACCCCGGAACUGCCUCUAAUACUGCUAGUCUUGAGUUCGAGAGAGGUGAGUGGAAUUCCGAGUGUAGAGGUGAAAUUCGUAGAUAUUCGGAGGAACACCAGUGGCGAAGGCGGCUUUCUGGACCGAUACUGACGCUGAGACGCGAAAGCGUGGGGAGCAAACAGGAUUAGAUA